UUUUUGCCUUUUUUUAACAGAUAUUUGUGUCCCAAGCGACAUACAGAAUAAUUUACAAUGUCUUCAGCUUCUAUUGAUCUGGCCCAGUUUACAGCUCAGGGGAAAGAAAACUUGGAAUCAGACAUAACAUGUAUGAUGAAUAAGAAACUCAUACACAGAAUGACCCCACCAAGAUUUCAGCUACCUGGCAAUCAACGACUAAUAUCUCUUCUAAGAAGGCAAGAUCAACAUAUGGCAUGUCAGAGCAGUAUAUUUUUCACAAACAGAUGGUAAAAUUGUACACAUCACAUUAGGCAAGUUUCAAUCUUUUCUACUUCCAUUUUAACACAUUUCUAAUUAACAUUUCAUACUAAAUUUUGAUUACACUUUAUUUAUAUAUUUGAUUUCAGAAAGUCGAAUUACUACCUAGGAAAAAAAUACAUUUGAACUCCGGUUAUAAGAUGACUUCACCUCUCUCUCUCCACUCUCU